UCCUAAGGACCAGUGCAAGUUGAAAUGGGAUUCCAGCCAACAACUUCAACAGCAAUUUGCCAUGAAAAUCAGCAAGAAAGGUACUUCAUUUACAUUGAUGAUGUCAUAUCCCCUGGACCCCACAACUUUACAGGUUACAGAGAAAAUUCAAGAACUUCUGCAAAAUGUGGGACUUGGAUAGAAUCAAUAAUGUAUUUGUGAGCCCAGAGCAAUGGAUAUAUUGUGCAACAUACUAAAGUGUGAAUUUAAUGGAAAACAAGUACAUGUACUCAUGUAUUACAUGUCUUUUUUAAAGACAAUAAUAUUGUAUCAAUAUAGAGGAAGUGUCAUUGUUGAUUAUUCUAAGUUUUUGAUAUAUCAAAAUCAGUAAACAUUUCUAAAUGAAAAUAAAAUACCAAUUCUAUAAC